UACGAAGGGUGCAAGCGUUAAUCGGAAUUACUGGGCUUAAAGCGCACGUAGGCGGUGUCGUAAGUGUCUGGUGAAAUCCCACGGCUCACCCGUGGAACUGCCAGGCAUACUGCGAUGCUCGAGUGUGGUAGGGGAGAGCGGAACUCCUGGUGGAGCGGUGAAAUGCGUAGAUAUCAGGAGGAACACCGGUGGCGAAGGCGGCUCUCUGGUCCACAACUGACGCUGAGGUGCGAAAGCUAGGGGAGCAAACGGG
rnacentral:rRNA from 1 species